GGGGACUCUUUCGAGCCCUGAUUCUCCUUUGCAUGACUUUGGGAAAUUCAUUCACAGUCUUCAAGCCUCGUUUUUCUUCUGUGUGAAAUGAGGACAAUUAUGUUGCUUGCUCGCCUACUUUUAUGGGUUUCGUGAGGAUCUAUCAAGAUAAUUGUUACACAAUGUUAUGCAAAAGACCUCGUGUUAUUAUUCUAAGGCAGAGUCAUCACUUUGUUCCCACUUUUACUUUGCCUACAGAAUCUCUUGGCGUCCCACCCGGAUGAGAAUUUAUGGCUCCCUGGAUAGAACAGCAACAUCUCGCUCCCUGUGACUUAAAUGCAUCCUGACGUGUUUCAGCUUUUGCGUACAGGAACGGUUUCUAGUUGGAGGAGACACAAUUCUAUUUUGAGGUUGUGGGCUCGAGUCACCACUAAAUGCAGAUUCAUUUGCUUCCAUUGACGUAAAGUGAAUCCUUCAUUUGUGGACAGCUCUGCUGCCCAAACCCAAUCUGUGACUGCAGCCAGUGGCCUUAUCUGUUGUGACAUGAAAAUGCCUAUGAUGAGAAGUGAGUUGAAUGACGUAGGCUUUAUGAUACAGCAUUAGGCUGCUGACCUGAUGAUGCUUCAGAAGGUGGGUCAUCUGCUUCAAAUGAUCCUGGACCAUUGAACUGUGAUGAUGCUGGUGACCGGAUGCCUUGAGCAGAUGAUGGUGAUGGCUGAGAAAUCCCAGUGGCUCAUGACAUGGCUCCAGGAAGACUUUCCCAACACCUAAAGAAUUUCUUUAUUCCUUUUCCCAGUCUGGUAUUUCUACUUACUAUUUUGCCAGCUCCUAGACCUACUGUGUCUGGGAUCCAGGGUGAAGCCAAAGCCACAACCACCCUGAUGCUCUGGAUUGCUCAGAAAUUCCAAAUUUCCUGCUGCCUCACUGACUGGAACAGACUGGAAUGCAACACAGCUGAUGAUAACAGCAGAGGCCUCAAACCACAAGGGCAGGCAGCCCCAGGAGCUAAUCCUUGCUCCACCACUUCUGGUGAAAGAUAAGGUCCAAGUUACUUAGCCUUCAUCAUAGGUCACAUUUCCCUGGAAAAAGAGACGACGUCUCUGAGGAGUGUGUGGAGGAGGCUCAUCGGGGAGUGAAUUCAGAAACAACAUCUGCGAUGGGGAGGGAGGCAGGACUUGGUGGAGGGAGAAGUUGGAGUGUGGUGCAGCUUCUAUGGAGGCCUCCAGCGAUCCCACAGGGAGCUGAGAUGGCUCUUCGGAAUUGUUCUGGUUGUGGACAAAUGGUUAGGCGCUUGUUCUUCCAUGUUGACCUAUCACAGAUGUAGGCUGCCUUCUGAGAAAGGAUCUGAGACGAAAGAUCUUUUUGAUUGACUCUUAGAGCAGCAGCCAGAGGUCCUGGUAGUAGGCAGAAUGAACACCUCCAUCCUGAGGUGUACCUGGGCAGCCCAUUGUACCUUUGCCUACAUUCUCAGUAUAUCACAGAACCAAGGAAGUGUCCUUGGCCACUCCACUGAAACUGCAAUCCCUUAAUCUCAUGUCCUCCUACCCCAUCUGACUGAUAUUCAUUGCAUUUAUCAUGAACUGACAUCCUUUAUAAGAAUUUAUCUGCUCAGUAUUCUGUAACAACCUAAUAGGGAAAAGAAUUUGAAAAAGAACAGAUAACAUGUAUAUGUACAACUGAGUCCUUCUUCUCACCAGGAACUAAGACAACAUUGUUACUCAACGAUACUCCAAU
rnacentral:lncRNA from 1 species